rnacentral:rRNA from 1 species
CAAGGAGGUGACAAGUACGUUAAGUACGGUAAUUACGUGGGACGUAAAGCGCGCGUAGGUUGGUUUAGUUAAGUAGAUGUAGAAACGUCCCGGCUACAACGUAGGAACUGCACUUAACAAAACGUGAACUGACUAGAGUAGUGGUAGAGGGUGGUGGAAUUUCCUGUGUAGCGGUGAAAUGCGUAGAUAUAGGAAGGAACACCAGUGGCGAAGGCGACCGCCUGGACUAAUACUGACACUGAGGUGCGAAAGCGUGGGGAGCAAACAGGAUU